GGCGGCCCGGUGCUUGAGCGAGUGCAAAGCGCCCCGCGCCGCCGCCGCCGCCUCUGCUUCAGCGAAGCCCCGUGACGCGAUGACACAAGGGCGGCAGGGCAGCGCUCGGACGUCAGGGGGGCCCGACUCCAGCGGUACAACCGCGCCUGCCGUAACACCACAACGGCUGGGUAACAGCGAGAAGUGCCAUCUGCGUGGCUUUCCACCGCAGCGCUGGCUUGCAGGGCACCGUACUGACAGGAGUCCGGCCUGGUCUGCCCACAACGGGCCGACACGGCCUAGGCCUCCUUUCGCCCCCGGCCUGCUGCUUAGCUACCGGGUCUCCGGCUGUUCCCGCCCCCUGUCCUCGCCCAUGGGGUAGCGGCAGUAGGGCGGCGGCAUCAGAAUUCUCAGAGACAGCCGCGGCUCAGAAAGCCCCACACACAUCCCCCAAAUUCUUACUACUAUAGAACUUUUAUACAACUGUCCAUACAUGAGAUGUUAUGUAACCAGCCGGUUCCCAUCUGUUACUAUCUGCUAUUGAUUCAGAGAUCAAAAGGAAUAUUAACAUUUAGAUGAAACUUGGAUGCAAUAUUAUCAUUGAAGUUUGUAGUAAACCAUCUAUGGAACUAAUUAAUGGAUAAUUACAUUAUGAUGAUGAAUGCAACUAUUAUCUGUGUAUAUGUAGGAAAUAGAGGUUUUACUUCAAAGCCACAAUGCUCUUCACCUAAGGAAUGCCUGCUGUCAAGAGACUAUCAAUGUUUUGCCAUAGAUCUAUAAAAGAACGCCAAGGCCCUGAUCCUGUUAUCUCAGAUCUGCUUAAACUUGGUCAGUGGAAGCUUGAGUCACAAGACUGAGGUCUCCAGUGCCAGUCUGGAUUACCCUGCUACUUCUCAGGGAAGAAUUUAUACAGACUCUGCAUAUGGAUUUGCCUACUGGAUUAUAACCUAGGGAACUGAUUGUGAAAGAACUUUUUGCAACUCAGCAGCUCACCAUCUCUAAUGUGAAACUGACCCAAGAACUUUAUACAUACAUAUAUGAAUAAUGAUCUUUUAACCACAAUACUCUCCUCUCUCUCUCCCCUUUUAAAAUAAAUCUUAGUUUAGUUAAGGAGAAUUGCCUGUAAGCAUCUAUUUAGGUAAGAUCUGAAAUAUUCAUUGACCUGGUGGGUAAUGUAUCCCAUACCUUGGAACUGGAAGAACUUUAUAUAUGUUCAACAAGAUUUUCAGUAAUCCUCAUCAUAUUUAAGUGACUGUCUGGGUGGGAGCCCCAGGUUAGAUUGCUUUAAGGGAGCUGUGUUUUUGGCUUCUGGGAAACUAGUGAAGUAUAGUAGAUGGUGUUUUGUUGCUGUCUUGGUGAACCAAAUCAUCAGAAUAACCACCAGUUUUGGGGAUAGUCUGCCCCAUUCUUUGGGGUUUGCACUAAUUAAGCAAUCUCAGUGUGGCCCCUCCAGGCAACAUGGGUCACAGUCGGUCUCUUAUUUUAGUUAAAUUGAAUCUUUCCCUCCUCUUCCCCGACAGCACAGACAGAUGAAGGGUGAGGGCUGCCCUAUCAUAUGGAAUGGCAUGAAGAAUUCACUGGGAACACCAGCCAGCACCACCAUGUUACGAGCUGUAGUCUCUCUCUCUCCCCCACCCAUAGCAUUCCACAUAGCACACUAAGGAUAUGAUACCACGACAUUGGCCAGAAAGUCCUGUCAUAUAGUACUCCCAUGGUAUCAGACACAAGCACACUAAUUGGGUCUGAUAUAACAUUAAGUGUUAAUAUGAAGAAGCUGCUGGGGACAGGUUUAUAAUGCAACAGAACUAAAAAGACACAUUGGCAGCCUCCAUGACCUCCAAACUAAAUAUAAUUAAGCUACAUGCUACUGUCAAAAUGAAGAAGGAUAAUAUUUUGAAAUAUUAUGGUUGCAAAACAGAUUUAGUUUAAUGCAACACACAAAUUACUGUUCCAUAUACCCGACUAACAAGAUCUGUUAUGAAAAACAGUAUACCUUGAAGUCAGAUGGCAUAAGCCUAGUUGCAAAAUAUUAUAUCCUUCUUCAUUUUGACAGUAGCAUAUAGCUUAAUUAUAUUUUUCAUAAGAAAUGUCUCUGGUCCCACCCCAAGAAUAAGAUCAGAUUGUCUGGCAGAGCAGGGAAGUUUCACAUAGUUUACACUUUUUAAACAAACCACUAGUGAAUUAAAGAGACAAGGUGGGUGAACUAAUAUAUUUUAAUGGACCAACUUCCCUUGGUGAAAGAAGAUUUCGAGCCUAGAGAGCUCUUCUUCAGGUCAAAGCUUCUCUUUCACCAACAGAAGUUGGUCCAUUAAAAUAUAUUACCUCAUCCACCUCAUCUCUCUAAUAUGCUUGGACCAACGUGGCUACAACAAUGAUACAAACACCAAUAAAUUAUCAGCAUCAGUGAUAUAUAUUGAACUUGGUUAAUUCUUCGCAUUCUUACCAAUAUUUCAAGUGUCUAUGGAGUUUUUCAAAUCCUUGUGUACUAAAUGAUAGUUUUCAAAUACAAAAACAAAGUAGUGGCCAUCAGACCUCCUCUCUGAAAAAAAGAUUACUCAUUUCUUGGACAGUUAAAGUGAAGUGUAGUCAAUGCCACAAGACUAAGUAGCUCAUGGCAUACCAGGACCCUCUGCCCACGUUGUGUUUCUUAGAUCACUUUAGAGUAAAGUGUACAGCUAGGGUUGUUUACUGAUUCAUCUUUCAGUUGUGGUGUCUCAUAUAUCCUCCAAAUUGACACUGAAGCAGGAUUACAGUGCUGAAGGUAACAUGUUAAGAUUUGCUAACUAUCUCCUAUAGGACUCAUACACAAAGCUAAGGAUUUGUAAAACAGAGAUAAGUUUCUGCCCAAUCAUCCCAAUUUAACAGCCACAAAUAGUAAAGUCUAUUCAGCAUCAAGGAAUCUUUAUAAAUACACACCAAACAACCUAGUCCAAAGAAUGAACAAACUUCUGCAAGCCCAGGCAUCAACCCAGCCUUCAAAGCCCUCCCUACAUACAUGCUCCUCCUCCGGUCCCUCCAGCAGCAGUUCAUAUGCCUUUCCCUUUUCCAUGGGUGUUCAGUAGAGGGGAAAGGAAAGACAGUGUUUCUUUGUGUGUGCUGAUGACUCAGUAGUGACCCUGCACCCUGUCACAAAGAUAGCUUAUAUGCUUACAGCAUGAAAAACCACCCAUGAUUAGACUGUUGGUCAAGGUCACUCAGCUUCAUAUGAACUACAGCUGCAAUUCAGGAAUCACAUCAACUCUCUUGGUACUAAAAUAGACUAAGUCUCCUCUACCAGUAGAUCCUGGAAUGACUGCAAUGUGAAGAUUAUUUACUGGUGGUUUUAGUACCUACUGCCAAUCAGCAGCCUUAUGAAUAAUCACCUAUUGCCAACCAAGAGACCUACAUGCAGACACUUUCUAGUCAAUAGUGACUCAUCAGCCAUCCAUCUCUCAGUACCAACCACUAAGAAAAGCUCAGAAGCUUCACUAGCAUGCAAUUCUCAGGAAGAACAAGCAGAAAGGUUAAAUUAAAUCUAAUCAGAAUGGCUGCUGAGAGAUUAAAUGCAAGGAAAAGCUUCCUAGUAGUAAGAGCAAUUAUAGAAUGGAACAACAGCCAAGAGGUCAUUGAAGCACAAUCUAUGGAAACAUUCAAAAAAGGAUCAGCCAAAACACUCAGAAGAACAAUUCAGGGGAAAACCUGCACUAGAUACAAAGUGGGAAAUUAUAACUUCUGACCAAUCUUUCUGGCAAUCAGGUUAGGUUUAUUAUGCAUCUUUUGUUUUUAAGAGGGAAACUGACAAACUGACAUCUUGUUAUUUUAAGAAGUUUUGUAGCACACACACCACACAAUAUUCAUCAACAUCAGGAACAGUAGGGUAAGGAUUUCGGCAUUGCAGAUCAGGCUAAGCACCAUAAAAACAAGUUAACAGUGUUGGGUAUUUCCAGAUGCAAAGCUGCCUCCUUCCCUUUUUUUUUUUUUUGGCGUGUGUGUUAAGUUAGUUCUACUGUGCUGUUCAUAGUGCAACAGUAUCACUGGAAAGGUCAAAUCUAAGGAACACCUCCUAAAACUGUCUCAGAAGCACUGAUUCAGCCAGGCAUCAUGAAAUGCAGGCAUAACAAGGGCUGGGUUCAGACACAAGAAGGAAUACAAAAAAAGAGAAGUGUGUUUUUUGUUUGAUGAAGUUAAAUAGAUGAUAAAAAGGAAGAUAAAGAAGGGGUCACAUUUCUUUUAGUACAUGAAUGCUCUCAACCAGUAUCCUUCUCCAUACUACAGAAUGAUUCAGUAGUUUCAUCUUCAGAUUCACCAUUGCAUUCUAAUACUUUGUUAGUGAAAAGAGACUAUGUAUGUUUCUAUAACAUGUGUGUGGAAUGUGAAAGUAUUGCACACUAGAUUACUUUUCCUAGCAAAGGCUUGAUGGCAUCCAAAAGGUGAGAUAUAAAUAUGUUCAACAUGUCUUUUAGUUUACACUGCACUAACAGCUAGCAUUUCUAGGUCACACAGAGCAGUACAUGAGAACACAAUGCACAAACCCACCAUCUCAAAAUUAGCAUCCCUGUAAAAAAAAGCAGCAGCACGUGAAUAUGAAGAUAAAAAACUAGAGAAUUAUUUAAAAAAUCAUUGUUGUUAUAAAAACACACAUUAUCUCCUAGGGAGAAAUGCAGGUUUUAUUUUCAUUCAUUUUAACCUACUUACCAAUUGGCUGAUCUGUCUGUAAGUAACGCAGUCUCCCUAACCAGGAGAAAAAGUCUGUUCCACCCACUGAGACAAUGGGACUAAUUAUGCAUUCUUUAUUCAGGCAAAACUCCCACAGACUUUAUGGGAGUUCCUGCAUUCUUUACUCUAGCUAUAUCAAGUCCUCUGCACUAUGUUUAUUUUAAACAUAGCCAAACUGUUGGUGUGAAAAUCUGGCUCCACUGAAGUCAAUGGGAGUUUUUCCACUGAAGUCAGUGGAAAAAGUAUUUCACACCCAGUGCCAGGUAAAGUGUGAAAAGUCAGACCUCUAUUUCAUGGCUAUGACCUCUUAGAUAGAGGACUCUUUUUAAAUUGGGAGAAGGACAUUUUAACCAUGGAACUGCAGCAUGCAAAUGAACUGAAGACAACUAUAUGACAGUUGCACUGCUCUCUCUCCAGUCAGCUCCCUUUCCUAGCCUGUAGUCAGGCUGAGGAUAGAGUCAGUCACCUGAACUUGUAGGCUUUCAGUCAAGGCAAACAAAUUCCUUAUGUCUGCAUGGACAGAGUAUAGCAAGAGUGAAGUUAAGCUGUUUCUGCCAUCAGUUGAGCAGAGCUAGGGUGACCAGAUGUCCCAAUUUUAUAGGGUAUUUUUCUUAUAUUAUAUUCAGAGCUUUUUCUUACAUAGGCAGCUAUUACCCCCCACCCCCUGUCCCGAUUUUUCACAUUUGCUAUCUGGUCACCCUAAGCAGAGGGCAGGUGAAGGGUACAUAAGAGGUAAAGCUUCUAGGGCUGUCAAGCGAUUAAAAAAAUUAAUCGUGAUUAAUCGUACUGUUAAACAAUAAUACAAUACCAUUCAUUUAAA